rnacentral:misc_RNA from 1 species
GUUCAAGUGGUUGAGUUUGUUUCAGUUUCAUUGAGUUUGGUUGGAUACGAUAGAGGAGAAACAGAGCUUCUCCCCUACCCUACUAGUCGCGCGAGUCUUCGGAAAAAGACCACCACUAGUUCUGCGCUGCAGAGAGCACUAACUCCUCUCAGAGUUAGCAACUCCAGCCCGAGCCUGAGCUCGCGCUCGUUGUCCCUCGACUAUCGUCGGGUCAACUGGUAAUGAUCCUUCCGCAGGUUCACCUACGGAAA